rnacentral:lncRNA from 1 species
CAAAGGCGCUUACCCAGGUGCCCAGCCCCGGACCUGUCCCUGACCACACCCACCUGUACCCACAGCACCUGCGCCUGUCCCUGAAUGGCCACGGCCAGUGUCACGUACAGCAUCUGUGGUUCCAGUCUGUGCUUGACAUGCUCCGCCACUUCCACACACACCCCAUCCCACUGAAGUCAGGGGGCUCGGCCGACAUCACCCUUCGCAGCUAUGUGCGGGCCCAGGGCCCCCCACCAGAGCCGGGCCCCACGCCCCCUGCCGCGCCCGCGUCCCCGGCCUGCUGGAGCGACUCGCCCGGCCAGCACUACUUCUCCAGCCUCGCCGCGGCCGCCUGCCCGCCUGCCUCGCCCUCCGACGCCGCCGGCGCCUCCUCGUCUUCCGCCUCGUCGUCCUCUGCCGCGUCGGGGCCCGCCC